AAGUAGGCAGAGAGGCAGGCAGAGAGAGAGAGAGGGAAGCAGGCUCCCUGCUGAGCAGAGAGCCCGAUGCGGUACUCGAUCCCAGGACCCUGAGAUCAUGACCCAAGCCAAAGGCAGAGGCUUAACCCACUGAGCCACCCAGGCACCCUAUUUUUUCUUUUUAAAGAUUUAUUUAUUUUAGCGGCGCCUGUAGGCUCAGUUGGGUAAGUGUCUGUCUUCAGCUCAGGUCAUGACCUCGGGGUCCUGCGAUUGAGUCCCACAUUGGGCUGUCAGCUCAGGGGCGAGUCUGCUUCUCCAUCUCCCUCUGUGAUCUCUCUCACUUGCAUGCUCUCUCAAAUAAAUAAAUAAAAUCUUUUUUAAAAUAAUUUAUUUUAGAGAGAGUGAGAGCAUACAAGCUGGGGGAGGAGCAGAGGGAGAGAAAGAAUCUUAAGCAGACUCCACACUGAGCAUGGAGCCCCACACAGGGCUUAAUUUCACAACCCCAAGAUCAUGACCUGAGCCUAAACUUAGAGUCAGACACUCAACCUACUGAGCCACCCAGGUGCCCCUCCCUUGCCCAUUCUUUAAUGAGUGAUUUGUCCUUUCAUUAUUGAGUUCUAAGAGUUCUUUUAUAUAUUCUACAUACGUCUCAUCAGGUAUAUGAUUUAUAAAUUUGUUCUUCCAUUCUCUGGGUUGUUUUUACUUUCUUGGUGGUGUUCCUUGAAGCACAAAUGUUUUUAAUUUGUAUGAAGUCCAAUUUGUUUAUUUUUUAUUUUGUUAUUUGUGCUAUUGGUUUCAUACCUAAGAAAUCAUUUGCCUAAUCCAAGAUCACAAAGAAUAACACCGGUGUUUUCUUCUAAAAGUUUUCUAGUUUUGACUCUUACAUUUAAAUCUUUGAACCAUUUUGUUUAUUCUUAUAUAUAUGUGAGGUAAAUUAAUAUUUUUGCAUGUGGAUAUCCCAGUUAUCCCAGCACUUUAUUGAAAAGACUACUUUCUCCAUCAUUGAAUUGUCUGGCACCUUUGUCAAAAAUCAGUUGUCUGUGGGGCACCUGGGUGGCUCAGUCAUUAAGCGUCUGCCUUUGGCUCAGGUCAUGAUCCCAGGGUCCUGGAAUUAAGUCCCACAUCGGGCUCCCUGCUCAGCGGAAAUCCUGCUUCUCCCUCUCCAACUCCCCUGCUUGGGUUCACUCUCUCACUGUGACUCUUUCUGUCAAGUAAAUAAAUAACAUCUUUAAAAAAAAAAAAUCAGUUGGCCAUAAGUGUAAGGUUCAGUUUCUGGACUCAGUUCCAUUCCAUUGGACUAUAUGUCUGUCUUGUACCAGUUCAUACUGUUUCAAGUAUUGGAGUUUUGAGUAAGUUUUGAAAUCAGGAAGUGUAAGUCCUAUAGCUUUGUCUCUCAAGAACAAUUAGUUUGAGCACUAGGGUAUCUUUAUCAUAUUAAAAGUACUACAGGAUGUCUUAAGUAGCAGGGACACUAGUAAGCCUUUCUAUUCUUUCUGAUGAGAAACUUCCUUAUUUCAGAACUAUUGAUCAUGUACCACUAGACUGGACUUCAUGAUAUGUACCUUUAAAUACUGCUUUAUUUUUCUGAAAAAAAUCAAAGAGUAAGACUUUUUUUUUUUUUUUUUAAUCAGGGUGAGGGAAAUACAUUCUUUAUCUUAGCUAAAGUCCAAGGAACUUUAGCUAAAAGCUAUUUUUUUAAAAGAUUUUAUUUAUGUAUUUGACAGAUAUCACAAGCAGACAGAGGCAGACAGAGAGAGAAAGAGAGGAGGAAGCAGACUCCCGCUGAGCAGAGAGCCUGAUGUGGGGCUCGAUCCUAGGACCAUGGGAUCAUGACCUGAACAAAAGGCAGAGGUCUGCUAAGUAGCAUAGAGUGGUGGUUAACAGCAUGGGCUUAAACCAGAUUUUCAAGGUUUGAAUCCUGACUCUACCACUUUUAGUGGUGAGACAUUGGAGAAAGAGAUCGAGAGCACAAGCAGGGGAGCCACAGGCAGAGGGAGAAGCAGGCCCUUCACUGAGCAAGGAGUCUGAUGCAGAACUCAAUCCCAGUACCCCAGGAUUCCAGAAUCAUGACCUGAGCAGAAGGUAGACACCCAAUCGACUGAGCCAACCAGGUUUCUCUAUCUAUUCAUCUCUUGAUGGACAUUUGAAUUUUUUCCACCUUUUGGCUAUUGUGGAAAAUGCUACAAUGAUUAUUAUCAUACAAGUAUCUGUUUAAGUCUCGGUUUUCAAUCUUUUGGGUAUAUACUUGGGAGUGGAAUUGCAGGGUCAUCUGGUAAUUGUCCAAUUUCUUUUUGAGAAACCACCAAACUGUUUUCUAUAGUAGCCAAACCACUUUACAUUCCUCCUAGAAAUGUACAAGAUCUCCAAUCUCUCCACACCCUCAGCAAUAUUUUUAUUUUCUGGCUGUUGUUGUUUUGGGUCUUGUUGUUGUUGUUGUUGUUAUAGCCAUCCUAGUAGAUGUCAAGUGGUAUCUCAUUAUGGUUUUGAUUUGCAUUCCCAAAUGACUAAUGAUGUUGGACUUCUUUUUGUGUGCUUUCAGUUUUCAUCUUUUUGGGAUGAAUGUAUUUUCAAGUCUUUAAUUCACUUUUCUUAAGUCUACUUAUUUAUGUCAUUUCUAUCCAACAUCAGGCUCACAUACCCAGGAUCAAGAGCCAUAUGCUCUUCCAACUGAGACAGCUAGGUGCCCUUAUAGUUCAUUUUUUAAAAAUUAUAUUAUUUGUCUCAUUACUAUUAAGUUGUAAGUGUUUUCUAUAUAAUCCACAUGGAUUCAUUUACAGAUAUAUUAUCCUCAAAUAUUUCUUCCCCUUUUUUAGGUUGUUUUUUCACUUCCUUGGUGGUAUUAUUUGUAGCACAAAAGUUUCUAAUUUUGAUGAGCCUAGUUUAUCUAUUUUUUUAUCCAUUUAUCACUUGUGCUUUUGGUGUCAUAUCCAAGAAUUCAUUGCCUCACCCAAGGUCAUAAAUACUUCUGAAUUUGCUUCUAACUGUUUUAUAGUUUCACCUCUUAUAUUUAAGUCUACAAGUUAUUUGAGUCAAUUUGUUUGGACGGUAGUGAGGUAGAGGUCCAACUCCAUUUUUUGUAUGUCAGUAUCCAGUUGCUUCAGCACGAUUUAAUUGAAAAGACCAUUUUCUCCUGAGUAAAUUGUCUUGGCACUCUUGUCAAAAAACAAGUGGAUAUAACUGUAUGGAUUUAUUUCUGAAAUUUUAAUUCUCUGGCAACUGAUUUUUGUUAAAAUCCAAAAGUAAUUUGGUGGAGAAAGGAUAGUUUUUCAGCAAAUGGUGCUGGCACAAGUGGCUAGUGCUGUGCAAAAGCAAAACCAAAAAACCUUCAAUAUAUAGCUUACUAUCUAUAUCUUGCAUAUCUCAUAUAUAAAUGACAUAUAUUAAUGGCAUGUAAAUUAUAUUUCAAAAAAACUCUUAAAAAUUACAUGUAUGGCUGGAAUUAUAUUUUUGUUGUACAGUAUUGUUUCAGAGAAACACAGCUUGGUGCAAAAUAUGGGCCAGAGUAAGUAGGACAUCGUAGGGCUCAUUAUAUGCCUUCCCUGCUUAUUAUAAACACUCCAUGGAAAUUUGCUCAUUAUUAACAUAAGACAAGUGUUGCAGCCAAUAAAAAUUAUUAGAGGUGAUUUUUUUGACCCCAGGAUUUAUUAAAAUUAUCAUGUGUAAAAGAUUUUAAAUAACCCGUUUACAUUUGCUAAGUCAUAAUUAGGCUCUCUCAAGUUAGCUUGAAUGUACAAAUUACUUUCAAGUCUUGGAUAGUUUUUGUCUUUAGCGAUUUUCAUGUAAUGACUAAGGAUGCCAUCCCCGCUCCGCUCCAUUUACAUCAGAGUUUUCUUUCCAUCUUGUCAGACUGCUGCCUUGGGAAAGUUCAGGCAGAAGCAAGCUUUCUAAUCAAGUGCCACCUAAUGGUGUCUCAAUAUUUGGCUGUCUCAAAUCUUUCAAUCCACCAAAUGAAUUUUACUGAGUUUGAUCCGAGAAUCAAAUGACUUUAUGGUCAUAAACUGAAACAUGAUGUCUGUGUGAGUUUUUGGGCAUGAUGAUGACUGGCAGUUUAUUUUUUCCAAAAGGAAGGAACUGUCUUCCUUUUCAGGGGAAAAGAUGAUCCUAAAAUAUCCUGUAUAGAAAAUAAAGAAAUGAAAUGAAAGCUUUUUUAAGUAUAACAGUCGCACAGAGUGCAAACCCUAAUCCCUGAAAACUGGGAGCAUAUUAUAUAACAUGGCAAAAAAGACCUUGCAGAUGUGAUUAAGGUUACCGACUUUAAAAUAAGGACAUGAUUCUGGAUGAUCUGGGUGAGCCUUUAAAAGCAAAGGACUUUCUCCAGCAGGAAGUAGCAGACAUGAGGCCAAAAGGGAAGUCAGGCAGAUUUGAAGCAUGGGACGGACUCAGUGCACCAUUGCUGGCUUGGAAAAUGUAGAAGGAUGUGAGAAGGAAUCCAAGAAACCUUAAGGAGCUGAGAGGGGCUCCAGGGUUCUAAGCUGACUGCCAGAAAGGAAACAGGGACUUCAGCCCUCCAACCACAAGGAAGAGAAUUUGACUGUCUACCAGAAUGAACUUGUUAGAGGAUUCUUCCCCAGAGCCUCCAGUAAGGAAAAAAGCCCCCCCAAGAUGCUGGAUUUGGGCAUUUUGAAAUCUGAAGGGAAGUACCACCAGACCGAGGACUGCAGAACUGUAAGAUGUGUAUUGUUUCAAGCUUCUAAACUCUGCCAAUUUGUUACAUGGCAGUAGAAAAAGCCAAUACAGAAGAUAUCAGGAAAAGAUUUAGGAAUCCCGUGCAGUUAAAAAUUCUUUGUCAGGGAAGGCAAGGGGAGUGGUGCUUAAAUUUUAAAAUUGGACAACACAUUCAAUACCGAUAUUAUGAGAGGGAUCCUAUCGUAUCACAGAACUCGGACUUUUGGCUCGCAAGUUGGCUCUGACAUUGGACUCUGCAGCAGGCAUGGAACUGGCCUGAUAGACUUAGCUACAGCUGUACAAAUUCAGAAAGAUGCAGAGGAUAAAGACAAGAAGUGGGAGACACUGGACUUGUAUUCAUGUCUCAUGUCUGUGGUUUAGUUUCUGUGGGGGGCCUCUACAAGAAAGGGACCCCACUGGUGCUGCUUUCUGCCCCCUCCUUGCUGUCACUGGCGUUUUCUACUCACUUCAUACCAAGCCAAUUGAUCACCCCUGUCUCCAGUCCUCAGUCCAGUGUGGCACCAACCAAGAGUAUUGGAAAGCUCUAGAAUGGGGGUAUACUUGGUGUCCUCCCUGGAAAAAAAGCCAGUCCUUCCAAGAAGUCCACAUAUAAGUCCAGUGUUCCUCAGAGAAGGGGCAGGACCAAAACAUGAAGUGCAUUUCUUGCCAUCUGACUUAAUGCUGUAUAAAUCUUCAUUCUGUCUUGUUUCCAUAAAUUCUUCAAAGAUCCAAGACUCAGGAAACCUGGAGCCUUUUCCCAAGUUUAGUCUUCCAGCUUGAACCUAAUGAUUUAAUAUGAUUGUCAAGGAAUAAGAAUGAGACAUUUAGUUGAAAAUAGAACUGCCCUAUGACCCAGCAAUUGCACUACUGGGUAUUUACCCUAAAGAUACAAACGUAGUGAUCCGAAGGGACACGUGCACCCGAAUGUUUAUAGCAGCAAUAUCCACAAUAGCCAAACUAUGGAAAGAACCUAGAUGUCCAUCAACAGAUGAAUGGAUCAAGAAGAUGUGGUAUAUAUACACAAUGGAAUACUAUGCAGCCAUCAAAAGAAAUGAAAUCUUGCCAUUUGCUACAACAUGGAUGGAACUAGAGCGUAUCAUGCUUAGCAAAAUAAGUCAAGCGGAGAAAGACAACUAUCAUAUGAUCUCCCUGAUAAGAGGAAGUGGUGAUGCAACAUGGGGGCUUAAGUGGGUAGGAGAAGAAUAAAUGAAACAACAUGGGAUUGGGAGGGAGACAAAACAUAAGUGACUCUUAAUCUCACAAAACAAA